AUGAACGCUGGCGGCGUGCCUAAUACAUGCAAGUCGAGCGAACGGACGAGAAGCUUGCUUCUCUGAUGUUAGCGGCGGACGGGUGAGUAACACGUGGAUAACCUACCUAUAAGACUGGGAUAACUUCGGGAAACCGGAGCUAAUACCGGAUAAUAUUUUGAACCGCAUGGUUCAAAAGUGAAAGACGGUCUUGCUGUCACUCAUAGAUGGAUCCGCGCUGCAUUAGCUAGUUGGUAAGGUAACGGCUUACCAAGGCAACGAUGCAUAGCCGACCUGAGAGGGUGAUCGGCCACACUGGAACUGAGACACGGUCCAGACUCCUACGGGAGGCAGCAGUAGGGAAUCUUCCGCAAUGGGCGAAAGCCUGACGGAGCAACGCCGCGUGAGUGAUGAAGGUCUUCGGAUCGUAAAACUCUGUUAUUAGGGAAGAACAUAUGUGUAAGUAACUGUGCACAUCUUGACGGUACCUAAUCAGAAAGCCACGGCUAACUACGUG
rnacentral:rRNA from 1 species